rnacentral:rRNA from 1 species
GGGCCCGCACAAGCGGUGGAGCAUGUGGUUUAAUUCGAAGCAACGCGAAGAACCUUACCUGGGCUUGACAUGCACGGGAAAGCCGGUGGAAACAUCGGUUCCUCUUCGGAGUCCGUGCACAGGUGCUGCA